UGAGGUCAUAAAAGGUAUCCCAGCAACCUUGCUCCUUCUUGGAUCACUUGCUCUGGAGAAUACCAGCUGCUAUGUCAUGAGGACACUGAAGCAGCUCUGUAGAGAGACCCACAUGGCAAGGAACGGAGGCCUCCUGCCAACAGCCAGCACUGACUUGUCAGUUCCAGUCAAGCCUUCAGAUGACAUCUUGUCUAUAACCUGAUAAGAGCUCUACCCAGAACCACCCAUCUGAGCCACUCCAGAAUUCCUGACCCACAAAAAGCAUGGCUCCUUCAAAUGGUGUGUUUGGGGAAGGACCAGAUUGAGCAGAUAUAUCUGCCAAGCAACCUGCUGUAUCUCUUGUGGCUCAUUUUCAAGGAGGAACCAGCAAGGGAUGACUUUUGCUCUUCAGGGGCUGUCACUGCUUUCCCCUUCUCAAUGAGCUGGACAGCCAUCAGC